rnacentral:lncRNA from 1 species
UGGAGAAGAUCAGUUCUGGUUAGCAGCUUUAUUGCCACAGAAAGGACACUGGCAGAUACUUCUCAUAGCUCUAGUCAUGCUGAAUUCCCAGAAAGGGGUGUCAGAAUGAAUUGCUCUAAGCUCUUCUCCCUGGUAGAAGAACCUGUGACUUCUCUUGGAGAUCUCUUCAAUUUUCGGAAAUAAUGACAAGGAAAAAAGUCUGGAGGAUGGAGCAAGAUGGCAGAAUAGAAGGUUCCACUGAUCAUCCCCCUGCAAGAACACCAAUUUAAAAACUAUCUACACAAAAAACACCUUCUCAAGAACCAAAACUCAGGUGAGCACUCACAGUACAUGGAGUUAAAUUCAUAUUUCUGAAUGAGGCAUUGAAGAAGUUGGAAAAACAGUAUUGCAUCACUGACACUACCACCCCUUCAUCCCCCAGCAGCGGUGGUGUGGUAUGGAGAGCUUCUCUGUGCACUAAGGAGAGGGAGAGCCAGCAAUUCUAAGACACUGAGCUCAGCGAUGCCCUUCUUAUAGCAGAAAGAAGACCCAGACCAAAUUCAGCUGACACCCACCAUGAAGGGCGCAUUUAAACCAGCCAUUGCUGGAAGGGAAUUGCGAAUCCCAGUGUUUGGAACUUGAGUUACCCAAGCCUCACCAUGAAGGGCUAAAGUGGCUCUGGAGCCACAGACAAACCUGAAGGGCAGUCUAGGCCACAAGAGCUGCAAAUCCUAAUGCUAAUCUGGGCCCAGAGCCAGUGGACUCGGGGGACACAUGACCUGUUAAAACACCAGCCAGGGCAGCUAAACUCAUCCCCUAACCUCAGCCUCCACGGCUUGUGGCUCCAAAAGAGGCCUCUUUCCUCUGCUUUAGGAGAGGAGAGGGAAGAGUGAGGAGGACUUUGUCUUGCAUCUUGGAUACCAGCUCAGCCACAUCAGGGUUGGAUACCAGCUAGAGUCAUGAGGGCCUUGGGUGAAACUCUGAGGCAUGCUGGCUCCGGGUGAGACUCAGCAUAUUACCAGCUAUGGUGGCUAUGGGGCAAGACUCCUUCUGCUUGAGGAAAGUGGACAGAAAAUUAAAGAAAAUUAAGAGAGACUUAGUCUUGCACUUUAGUGCAACUAUUGUUACCAUUGUUAUUCAACAUAUUACUGGAAGUUCUAGCUAGAGCAAUCAGACAAGAGAAACAAAUAUAAAUAAAUCUAUCUAUAUGUAAAUAUAUCUAUAUAUAUAGAUAGAUAUAGAUAUAGAGAUAUAGAUAUAGCAUCAAAUUUCAAAGAAAAGUAAAAUUAUCUUCGUUCACAGAUGAUAGGACCUUAUACUUGGAAAAACCUAAAGUCUCCCCAAAAACCUAUUAGAACUAAUAAAUUCAGGAAAGUUGCAGGAUACAAGGCAGAUUUCUAUAUGUCAAUAGCAAAUAGAUUAAAACAAAUUUAAAAAGUAAUCUCAUUUAUGAUAGCCACAAAUAAAAUUAAAUAGGAAUUAACCAAAGAAGUGAAAUAGUUCUCUAAUGAUAAACUAUAAAGCAUUAAUAAUUGAAGAGGACACUAAAAAUGAAAACAUAUUCCAGAUUCAUGAACCAAAAGAAUCAAUAUUGUUAAAAUAUCCAUAGUACUCAAAGCAAUCUGUAGAUUCAAUGUUAUCCUUAUCAAAAUACCAAUGACAUUUCUUACAGAUAUAGAAGACACUAUCCUAACAUUUGUAUGAAAGCACAAAACACCCAGAAGAGCCAAAAUUAUUCUAAGCAAAACCACCAACCAACCAACCCACCAAAACUGGAGGAAUCCCAUUGCCUGACUUCAAAUUAUACUACAACAGAGCUACCAUAACCAAAACAGCAUGGUUCUGGCAUAAACACAGAUACAUAGACCAAUAAAACCGAAUACUCAGAAACAAAUCCACAUACCUACAGUGAACUCAUUUUCUACAAAGGUGCAAGGAACAUACACCAGGGAAAAGAUCGUCUCUUCAAUAAGCUGUACUGGGAAAAGUGGAUAUCUAUAUGAAGAAAAAUGAAACUAGUCCCGUCUCUCGCCAUAUACAAAGAUAUAGUCAAAAUGGACUAAAGACUUUAAGAACUCAAACUAUGAAACUACCAGAAGAAAACGUUGGAGAAAAUCUCCAGGAUAUUUGUCUGGGCAAAUAUUUCUUGAGUAAUACUCCAUAACACAGGCAACCAAAGCAAACAUGGACAAAGGAGAGCACAUUAUGUUAAAAAGCUUCUGCACAGUGAAGGAAAUAAAUCAACGAAGAGACAUCCCACAAAAUGGAAGAAAAUGUUUUCAAACUACACACCUGACAAGGAAUUAAUAACCACAAUACAUAGGGAGCUCAAAUAAAUCUAUAGGAAAAAAUCUAAUAAUCUGAUUUAUAUAUUGAUAAAAGAUUGAAUAGACAUUUCUCAAAAGACAACAUACAAAUCAAAAACAGGCACAUAAAAAGUGCUCAACAUUGAUCAGAGAAAUGCUGAUCAAAGCUACAAUGAGAUACCAUCUCAUCCCAAUUAAAAUGGCUCUUAUACAAAAGACAUGCAAAAAUAAAUGCUGGUGAGGACAUGGAGAAAAGGGAACCCUCAUAAACUCUGUGGGAAUGUGAAGUUGCAUUUAAAGUUGUAUUUAAAGGUGCAACAGAGAACAGUUUGGAGGUUCCUCGAAAAAACUAAGAAUAGAGCUAACGUAUCAUCCAGCAAUCCCGCUGCUGGGUAUAUACCCAAAAGAAAAGAAAUCAAUAUACUGAAAAGACAUCUACACUUCCAUGUUUGUUGCAGCUCUGUUCACAAUAGCUAAAAUUUGGAAGCAACCUAUGUGUCCAUCAACAGAUGAAUGGGUAAAGAAAAUGUGGUACUUAUACAUGAUAGGUACUAUAUAGCCACAAAACAUAAUGAGAUCCUGUCAUUUGCAACAACAUAGAUGGAACUGGAGGCCAUUAUGCUAAGUCAAAUAAGCCAGGCACAGAAAGACAAACAUUGCAUGUUCUCAGUUAUUUCUGGCACCUUAAAAUCGAAACAACUGGACUCAUGGAGAUAUAAAUUAGAAAUAUGCUUAGCAGAUACUGGGAAGGGUACUGGGGGUGGUGAAGGGGUAGGUGGGGAUGGUUAAUGGAUACAACAAAUUUGUUAGAAUGAAUAAGUACUAGCAUAAUAGACUGACAUCGUCAAUAACAAUUUAAUUGUACACUUAAAAAUAACUAAAAGGGUAUAAUAAAAUUAUAACACAAAAGAUAAAUGCUUGAGAGGAUACUCCAUUUUUCAUCAUGCAUUUAUUAUGCAUUGCAUUCCUGUAUCAAAACAUCUCAUGUACCCCAUAAAUGUAUACACCUAUGUCACAACAAAAAUAAAAUUUAGAAAAGUCUGUACCAAUGUGACCAUGAUAAGCCUAAUUAUAUUUUCAAUCCAUGAUUGGUUAAGUCCAUGAUUGGUUGAAUCCUCAGAUGCAGAAUCCAACUCAUAAGCCCAACUGCAGAAGCAGAUACUGACACCAGGAGACAGAAUGAGCAUAUUCUGUCCUUGGCUGGUACCCACCCUGUCUUCCAACAUUGCUUCUUCCAAUAUCUCAGAGUAUCUUUAAACCACACACUUUCAUAUUCCUUCAUAACUUCUCGUAUCCUGCUUCUUUGCUGUGAAUUUACCAAAUGCAUUUCUAUAUAAACUACCAGUCAUAAAUGCUCAGAUAAUAUGACAAUUUCUUUAUGAAGGCGUGCUCUACUCAAUCAGUGAGAACUCUCACACCUCAGACAUCACAAUCCUUCUUUUGUACUCUUCACACAAGCUUCAACUCACUCUUGUAUUUUAAUUAUUCCUAAGUUUCAAUGAAAAUUCCACAUGAAUAUGUAUAAUUAAAAAUUAAUGGGCUAUCCAAAUGCUGUAUAGGUAUGAAAGUUAGAAAUCUAAAUAAGCAUUUAAAAAUGGCAGGUGGAGGGUUAUUAAUAUGUAAAAUUGCAAAAUUCUAGAUACAUUUUAGGUACUGCUAUGAAAUCCUUAAUGAGCUGUACACUUAUUUUUUUUAUGGAUAUACUUCAAUAGUUGUACAAGCUUCAUGUAUAGCCACAAAUAUAAACAUAUUCUAGAACAUAAAAUGACAAAAUGGUCAACAAAGUUAUCCAUCAUCUUAGGUCCUUGAGGGACUUUUGAUGAGUGGACCCCGAGUACCAUCUGACAGAUUUACAAUGUGAACAUCACAUAAACAAUGUUUUUAUGCAGCUUGAGAUGUUACUAUGGCAUUACCUUGUGCAUUCUGACUGAUCCAUAAUUAUAUUUAAAAUUUGCAACAGUGUUCCCUAUUUUAUGUUCAUAACAUAUCAUCAUCUGGCAUGACCACAUCGUAUGUUUUACCUAUUCACUGUUUGGGUUUUUGUUAUUGCACAAGGAGACCAAAAUAUAUUUAUUUUCUUCUCUGUUGUUUUCUAACAUUAGCACUAUGCCUGGCAUAUAUCACUUUUGCACCAACAUAAUAGUAAAAAUUGAUUAUUUGUUAAAUAAAUGAAGAAGGAAAAAUGAUGGUUAGAGAGAUUAGUGCAACUCCUUUAGAGAUGAAUUCAGUAAUAUCUCAUAACAUUGAAGAUGUUCUUUCUUCACUACCUAAGACUUCCAAGGAGAUUAUACAAGGAUAGAUACUCUUACAUUAUAAAGCAUGAAAAAGUGGUAAACCUAAAUAUUAAUAUAAAGAAAAUGCACACAUGAUCAAUAUUAAUACCAAUUUAUUGUGAACAUUUCAAUUAGUAAAGUUGAAGGAAAAUAUGUUGCAGAAUGAUCAGUGUGUUACCAUUUAACAAAUACAUCCUACUAAAAUAUUACAUUUGGACACAUAUCUGCAAUAAAAAUAUUAAAAAUUGAUAGGGAAGAUACACACCUGUUUAAAAAAAUUGGUCUGAGGACACUAAGAGAGGGAAUUCAAGAGAGCACAGAUAAGACUUUGAUGUAUCUGUAAAAUAUAUACCGCCCUGUUUUUGAGUCAGGGUCUUGCUUUGUCAACCCAGGCUGGAGUGCAGUUUCGCAAUUGUGGCUCACUGCAGCUUCAAUCUCCCGGGCUCAAGCGAUCCUCUCACCUCAGCCUCCUGAGUAGCUAGGACUAUAGACACGUGCCACUAUGCCUCCCUGAUUUUUUAAAAUUUAAUUUUUGGAGAGAUGAGGUCUCACUAUGUUACCCAGGCUGGUCUCAAAUACCCAGGCUAAAGCAAUCCUUCCACCUCAGCCUUCCAAAGUGUUGGGAUUAUAGGCAUAAGCUACUGCCCCUGGAUGAUAUAUAUAUGAUAUUUAUUUAUAUUUUUUAUAUCAAUAGGUUUUUGGGGAACCGGUGGUGUUUGGUUACAUUAAUAAGUUCUUUCAUGGCAAUUUGAGAAUUUGGUGCACUCAUCACCCAAGUAGUGUACACUGUACCUGAUGUGUAGUCUUUUAUCCCUCACCUGCUUCCACCCUUUCCCCCAAGUCCCCAAAGUCUAUUGUAUCAUUAUUAUCCCUUUGCAUCCUCAUAGCUUACCUCCCACGUGUGAGUGAGAACAUACAAUGUUUGGUUUUUCAUUCCUGAGUUGCUUCACUUAGAAUAACGGUCUCUAAUUC